rnacentral:rRNA from 1 species
AUACGGAGGUAGCAAGCGUUAUUCGGAAUCACUGGGCGUAAAGGACGCGUAGGCGGGUUUGUAAGUCAGGUGUGAAAUCCUACAGCUCAACUGUAGUACUGCACUUGAAACUACAGACCUAGAGUAUGGAAGGGGCAGAUGGAAUUAGUGGUGUAGGGGUAAAAUCCGUAGAUAUCACUAGGAAUACCGAAAGCGAAGGCGAUCUGCUGGGACAUUACUGACGCUGAGGCGUGAAAGCGUGGGGAGCAAACAGGAUUAGAAACCCCAGUAGUCC